CAGGAGUAGGCGGGUGACAUCCAUCCUGAGAAGCCUAAGUUGGGCAGAGAAGCAACAGUCCCUAGAGACCUUAGGCCUAGGCAGAGUUGUUCAAAGUGCCUCCUGGUCCCCAGGAGUGCUUCACAGUGGCAGGGGUCUCUUCUAAGGUGAAGAGAAUACAGCUAACAAGUUAGACUUCAGUGAGAAGGACGAAGGAUAAAGGCUCCUGCAGACAAGUGUAUGUCAUAUACCAGAUUCCCUGCUGACCCACAGGAAACAAAUUGUGUCAAGGCAUGUCAACAGAAGCUAAAAGGACUUCUUUAUAGCCUGAGUUGGAAGGGGCAGAUGGAUUUUUAGCAGAUUUCUUUCCUCAAACGCCUUCUGUCACUAUUGGAUCCCCACCCCUUCCCACCCCACUGUCUCAUUUCCCUCUUGGGUUUUGGAAAAGCCUGGGUCUGCAUUUCCAAGGUUGCCUCCACCCGAGGCACAUGGACCAUCAGAAGAGAGUACUUAUUUUGAUCCUAUCCACUCUCCCUGACCAGCGCCAGCUUCCUCCUCUUUGUUCUCAGAUUGGUUGGUGUGCUGGCCAGUUUUAUGUCAAUGUGACACAAGUCAGAGUCAUUUGGGAAGAGGGAACUUCCAUUCAGAAAUUGUCCCUACCAGACUGGCCUGUGAGAAAGCCUGUUGUGGUACAUUUUCUUGAUUGAUGAUUAGUGUGGGAGGGUCCAGCUCACUGUGGGCAGUGCCACUCCUGGCGUAGUGGUCCUGGGUACUAUAAGAAAGCAGGCUAGGUAAGCCACGAAGAGCAAACCACAAAGCAGCACUCCUCCAUGACCUCUGCAUCAGCUUCUGCCUCCAUGUUCCUGCCUGAUUUCCUCUGGUGAUGGACUGUGACCCGAGGGUUGUAACCUGGAAUAAACCCUCCCUUCUCCAAG